CUGGCUCAGGAUGAACGCUAGCGGCAGGCUAACACAUGCAAGUCGAGGGGCAUCGGGAGUAGCAAUACUGCCGGCGACCGGCGCAAGGGUGCGUAACGCGUGAGCAACAUGCCCGUAUCAGGGGGAUAAUCCAUGGAAACGUGGUCUAAUACCCCAUAGUAAUUAUGUAAGGCAUCUUAUAUAAUUUAAAGCUUUGGUGGAUACGGAUUGGCUCGCGUGACAUUAGCUGGAUGGUAAGGUAACGGCUUACCAUGGCUACGAUGUCUAGGGGUUCUGAGAGGAAGGUCCCCCACACUGGAACUGAGACACGGUCCAGACUCCUACGGGAGGCAGCAGUGAGGAAUAUUGGACAAUGGAUGGAAAUCUGAUCCAGCCAUGCCGCGUGCAGGAAGAACCGGCCCUAUGGGUUGUAAACUGCUUUUGUAUGGGAGCAAUAAGGGCUACGUGUAGUCCGAUGAGAGUACCAUACGAAUAAGCACCGGCUAACUCCGUGCCAGCAGCUGC
rnacentral:rRNA from 1 species